rnacentral:tRNA from 1 species
UUCUAAUAUGGCAGAUUAGUGCAAUGGAUUUAAGCUUCAUAUAUAAAGGAAUACCCUUUUAUUAGAAA